UAAAAUUUUAGUUUAGUUAAAAUAAUUUAUUUACAAUAAAUUGAGUAUUUAUCAUUAUAAAAUAAAAUUUUAA
rnacentral:tRNA from 1 species